CUUUUCUAGGGCGGCUCCUGCGGCAUAUGGAGAUUCCCAGGCUAGGGGUCUAAUCAAAGCUGUAGCUGCCAGCCUACGCCACAGCCACAGCAACACCAGAUCCAAGCCGGGUCUGUAACCUACACCACAGCUCAUGGCAACGCCGGAUCCCUAACCCACUGAGCGAGGCCAGGGAUCGAACAUGCAACCUCAUGGUUCCUUGUCGGAUUCGUUAACCACUGCACCACGACGGAAACUCCCUAGGUUCUUUUUUUAAAUGGCAAAUCCGCUGUCCUACUUCAUCUGCCCUACUGUCUACCAUGUCAAUCUUUUUCUUUUUUCCUGGUACCCCUCAGACUCUCUAAAUAUCUAGCCUAUUGAUUUCUUUAUUUGGGUAUUUUCCAUCUUACUUCAUUAAGCUUCAUGACGGCAGAAACUUUGUCUUGCUUGCCACAUAUUCCUAGUGCCUAGCGUGUAGCGGGUGUUCAAUAUCUACUGAAUGAAUGAACGAACCAGCAAAUGAGAAUUAUCUCCAAUGUUGACAUAAUCUGGAGAACACAAAGGAUUGGGCUAACAAUUUAAAUCUCUCUUGUAAACAAUAGAAAACCUCAGUGUAACAGACAGAGAACCAUAUUUCGGGAACCCUAAAUAAUUAGAAGCAGGAUUUUUUUUUCUCCCCCAGAGGAUAACGAAAGAGUCACCUCUCUAAGCAGAUAAUAGAUCAAUUUAGAGACAGCUGCUACAGGGAAGUCUUAGAGCCUGUGGCAGGUCCCCUGGCACUGAGACAGAUUUCCAGAAAAGGAUGCAAAUUUUUGGAGAAAGAUUUAAAACCAGGCAGGACCCUUUGGACUUAACUGUGAGUCUGUGGGACUGGGCCAAAGUCUCUGUGAGGAAAAGACCAAGUAGAACCUGGAAUGAAACCAGAGCGCCCUUGUUUCGGCCCCUCCCCUCUACCAAACAGAGGUCAGUGCUCGGUGCUAAGGAUCUGGGUGGGCCGAGCCUGCAGACAGAGGUCAGGGUGAGAGGUCAGCCCCACGUAGGGAGUGGCUGAAAAACAGUCCGUGUCCAAAAGAGGGGAGCAGAUAUUCGUCACCACAGCGAUGUCCAAAAGGGCAUUCACUGGGGAUUAGGAAAUACUAUCUCCCAGGAGCACAUGGUGUAACGGGUUCCUGUCCCACAAGAAAGUGUCCUCUAGACACCACCCCCAACACACACACACACACCCUGUCCUCCUCUCAUACCUCUGCAGUUUCCUAAUCCUUGCAAUACCUUUUCCCACCUUUUAAAAAAUUUUUUAUUAGAGUUGAUUUACAUUAUUCUGUCAAAUUCUGCUAUACCGCACGUGACCCGGUCAUACAUGUAUACACACUCUUUCUCUUAUUAUCUUUCAUCCUGUUCCAUCACUGAGACUGGACACAGUUCCCUAGGCUGUACAGCAGGACCUCAGUGCCUAUCCAUUCUAAAUGGAGUAGUUUGCACCUAUUAACCUUCUCCCACUUUUUAUGGGCAAACGCUGGCUCACUCUUCAGAAGCCACUCAUCAGCUCUAUGGUGGGCCCACGCAGCUACGCUUCCCACCUUCGCCUGGGACCUACUCGCACCCCGUGACACGCAGGUCGGGCACGGCUGCCUUGCACAUCCUGUCCUGUCCCUGAACAGUCACGGUCCCUGUGCCCUAAAGAAGUCCUCAGGAGCAAGGGCAGCCGGGACGAUCUUGCCCAGGCCCUGCCUCUCCAAGUUCACACUCUGCCAAGAGCCUGGCACAGGGAGAAGCCAGAGCGGUCAGACCCCGGCAGGGCUGAUGCCUUCCUCACUGACCUUCACGGUCAGAACGGACCACACUCACCGCCUGAUGUGGGGCCUGGCCAGCCCUCAGCAUGUGACAGUCUUUUCCAUUCAGGGCUCACAGGGGCGGCCAGCGGGUCUGUGCAGCUGCCAGCGUUUCCGAGGCUGCUGCUCCUCUUUCCUGUCUCGGGUUCAGGGCUCGCCAUCCCUCUGACUGCAGAGCCAUGCGCUCCAUGUGGCUCCUCUCCGCUCGCCAGGCCUUCGGGCGGCCCCCGCGGCCAGAGUGGAGGCAACGCGGAGCUAGGUUUCGUGGAGCUGGACCGGGACAGAGGACGCGGGGAAGCGGGCUCCUCGGGGACCCAGCCCUGCCGGCCCACGCCUGGGACCCUUCACUUUGAACCCAGCGUGUGCUUGGCGGCGGAGACUCCCUAAGGCCCAAGGAGGCGUUCUGGGCGGGUCGAGGAAAUAAGCAAAUAAUGAUAAGACGCGGGUGCAAAGCCUUCUGCAUUGAAAUGGUACGGAAAUUCCCAAAGGCGAGUUCCCUCUCUCCCUCUGAGGGACGUUCCCCUCCGUGAAGCACACGGAGCUAGGGGGUCCCGCGAAAAGUGCACGCGGGUGAUACGUAUCUGACACGGAUGUGAACAGGUUUAGGUCUGCGAUGGUUACCGCUAGAGGGACGUCCUCCCGGGACAUUCUGGAACAUCUGGGUCUAAAUUCCGGUUCUGGGCUGUCAGUCAGUCUGUGACACUCUGCACGCCUGCAUCCCAUCAGCGGUCGGACGAGUCCGCCGACGGGCGAUUAGGCGGAAGAAUCUAAGAACAGCGCGACUGCUGACGGGGCCAGGUGGCUGAAUCUGUACUGCUCGCUGUGUGAUCACCGGGUGACACGAGCUCUCUGUGCCUUGGUUUGCUGUCAUCUUCUACUGCGUAACAGGGGACACAGUACUGCUUACUUCAGAGGGCUGUGGGGAAGCCCAAUGAAGGAACGGCCCAACCCUGGGACACAGGAGCCACUCAAUGAAUGCUACGCCCAAGUGUGCCAUCACUCUGACGGGUGCGGUUCUGCGUUCCAGGGCGUCAAAGAGCACACGAAAUCCAAUACUCCAGUCCACUUUAAAUAUCUGAAGACAGCCACCAUGAGCUGUGAGACAAAUACCCCAGUUCUUUUCCGUUGCAGCUGUUCCUUCACCUCCAAACCGUCCAGAGGAUUCUGUGCACCCAGGAGUUCUCUGCAAUCCCACACUGCCCACCUCAGCUUUGGGCAGGGCAGUCCUAAGGUCCAGUUCUCCUGUGAAUGGGAAGGAAUUUUCUUCCUGCUUCCCACUGCCUCAGAGUCCACAUCACUCUUCUUUGAGUGUCUCUGCACCAGGCCACCCCGCCUUCCUCUCUCACUAGCUAGAAUGAGGCCCUUCUCCAUGGAGGGUGUGUGUCACCGCCUGCAGCACCUACCCGGAGGCAGAGUCAUGUGGACUGUGGCUGGUGCUCAGGGCCUGACGAGUGAGUGGUCGGUGGAAAGUGUACCUGCCUGUGACUGGGGGAACUGGGGUCAUAAUCACAGGGUCCCAUCAAAAUGGCCCUCCUAGGAGGUCCCAUUGCGGUUCAGUGGUAAGGAAACCAACUAGUAUCCAUGAGGACAUGGGUUCCAUCCCUGAGCUCACUCAGUGGAUUAGGGAUCCAGCAUUGCCUGUGAGCUCAGAUCCCGCAUGGCUGUGGCGUAGGCCAACAGUUGCAGCUCCUAUUUGACUCCUAGCCUGGGAAUCUCCAUAUGCAAUGGUUGUAGUGCUGGGGGAAAAAAAAAAGUCCCUCCUGGGCAUGCCUCUAGAUUGUAUACAGGUCUAGUUGCAUACAGUUUCCCCUGAUGGAGGCUGGAUAAAUGCCUGAGCUGCCCUUCUCCCUCCUCUUUUAGAUGGGCUGUACCCAGGCAGGCCGAGGCUAUGAAGGUUGGCUCCAUGAGAAGAUCCAGCCUCCACUUCCAACCUGGGACCACGCAAGGACAAGGGGGGCCUCCAGCACAGUGCUGACCAAAGAGCCACAGACGGCCUAGAGCUACUCCAUGACAAAAGCCUGGGCAGUGCCUGUUCUGAGCAGGACAGAAGGGGACCAGCUUCACAGAGGUGGGAGGAGCUGUCUAGGACUGUCACACACCAUUAGGAACACUGCACCCCUCCCCACCUGGCUUCAAUAGCACCUGACAAUGCAGGUAUUUCCAUGGGAAUAUGUAUGAGUUUCAAUGUAGGCAAAGCAGCACGAUCUGGUCUCCAUCUUGACAGAAUGUAUCAUUGGCUGGAAGAGUUGGGGUGUCUUUGCAUGACUCUGAAAUGUCAGCGGUGGCUGUGGUCAAAUUUCACCCCAGGGUGGAGGCCAGGCUCAAGGAAAUCCAUCCAAGGCUUCUAUGGGCGAGCACAGACUGCCCUCCUUCCCCGCCACAGCCCUCAGGACAGAGCACAACUUAAGAGGGGUUUACCAGCACCUGCAGAUGAAGGGAAACUGGCACUAACCAUCUACCUGGGGUCCAGAGAGGACAGCGGAACUCCCUCCCCCAAAUCCCAGGGGAAGAGUUUUAGUCAUCUUUUGCUGACUGACUUGAAAGCAUUAUGUGGGGGGAAGGGAGGAACCCUGAGGAUCUUAUGAGAUGUGUCCUCUGCCACCUCUCUGACUCCACCCUGCCUUUCCCCCCAUGCUCAGGACACCCAGCCACACUGGCCUUUGUCCUGUACCUUUAACUCCCCAAUUCCUCCCUGCCUCGCGGCCUGUGCACUUGUCAGUUCCACUUUCUAGAGUAUCCUUUCAGUUAUUCUAGAAGCUUAACUGUCACCUUCUCAGAAAGACUUUCCUUCAUCACCUUAUACAAAUUAACCCUCACUGCCCAGGCUCUCACUAUCCUAUCCUCUGGCUUCGUUCCUUCAUAGCAUCCCUUCAAUCUGAAGUUACACUGUGUGUUUAUUUAUGGGUUUAUUGUCUGUCUUCCUGGAUCAGAACAUCAGCCCCAUAAAUGUGGAAACCUUGUCUGUUUUGUACCCCAAUGCUUUGCCCAUCGAAGACACUCAGUGAAUAUUAAAUGAAUGAAUGAUACUAUCAAAGUUGUUUAAGAUUCUUAAUGGAGAGGGACAAAAACCCCAAACCUUUUAUGAAUUCCAAGUAGGGAGAGAAGAGGAAAUAAAGCAAGAAAUAGAAGAAUUGUUAACUCCCACAUUAGCUGGAGACUGAAACAACCAGAAAAGUGAAACUCUGGAU
rnacentral:lncRNA from 1 species